UCACUUUUCAAUGUACAUUUAAUGCCUGCAGGUCGGUUUUUUCGUUUAAAAAUUUUAUAUGACGAAAAUACCCCUAUUUUUUGAAAAAAAUUAUGAUAUCUUGUGACGUAAUAUAACCCAGAAUGUCAUAAUAUCACCUAAGAUAUCAUAACAUGAGAGGAGCAUUUUUGUCCAACUACUUUUCAAUGUGCAUUUAAUACUUAU
rnacentral:lncRNA from 1 species